rnacentral:lncRNA from 1 species
AGAGAGAGAGAGAGAGAGAGAGAGAGAGAGAGAGAGAGACUUUUUUUUUAGAGAGAUAGGUAGUACACUAUGUCUUUCGUUUAUUUUAUUUAGAAAUAAACUUAGCUGAAAAUGUGAAUCAACUAAAAUUCGAACUUGGGUCUCGAAUACCAACCACCAAACUCUUUGCCACUUGCUCUAGGGGCGGUCGGUAGAGGGACUCUUAAUCGUAUCAAGUCAAUGUGCAAUUUAAGAUGAUAGCGGUCUCUUAAGAUUGGAUGGGUAGUUGGUUGAAAAUAUGAUUUAAUAGAUGAAAAUAUUCAGAGAGGUCGAUCUAACGGUGAAAUCUCGAUAGCAGCAAGCGCAAAAAGGAUUGUCUUUUUCCUACUUUUUUGUUUUUUAGCUGUAAGGAAUAUAAUGAUUU